GUAGGUGAACCUGCGGAAGGAUCAUUAACACGUGAUACUCACGUAUUAACUAAACGCGAACUUGUUGUUAAGCCUGUUGCUGGAUAUGUAGCUGUACCAUGCGGGAAUGGUGUGACCUUGAAAGGGGUCUAACUCAUGGUCUUAUCGUACUCGAUACGAGGCUCAUUCCAGUAGCAGUAGAUGAAUUUCGGCUGCGUAUUAAACCUGCACCUUGGUUUGCAGUCCGGGGUGAAACUAUUACCUACCCAUU
rnacentral:misc_RNA from 1 species